rnacentral:lncRNA from 1 species
GAUUUGUUUAAAAUCGGGGUUUAAGAGGAAAAAAUUGGAAUUUAUCAGAUUUUUUAGGAUUGAAUUUAUCGGAUUUAUGGGAUUUUUUGGGGGGGGAAGAAAAAGUCAAUUUUUUUGGGGUGUAAAACGGCGUUUUCCGGGAAUUUUUGAGGGGAAAAACGGGAAUUUGGGGAAAAACGGGAAAUUAUGAUUUUUAAAAAGAGUCAGAGUCGAAAUGAAAAGAGGAAAAUUCACGAUUUUUAAAUUAAAUUUAAAAAAAACCCGUACAAAUAAAAAUUGUUUCCCGCCCCUCCCCCACCCUGGGGUUAAUUAAUUCAGGUUAAUUAAAUCAGGUUAAUUAAAUUAGGUUAAUUAAAUCCUCCCCCCGUUAAUGAGGGGUGGGGGGAGGAGCUGGGGGUCCUGGGAAAGGAGAUGGCCACGGUCACUCAGUGGUCACUCAGUGGUCUCUCAGGGGUCACUCAGGGGUCACUCAGUGCCCGGUGGUCACUCAGGGGUCACUCAGGGAUCAGAGUCCGGUGGUCACUUAGGGGUCACUCAGUGUCCGGUGGUCACUCAGUGUCCGGUGGUCACUCAGGGGUCACUCAGUGUCCGGUGCAAGUGGUCAGUGAUGAUGCCCAUGGUCACUCAGUGGUCACUCAGUGGUCAGUGGUCACUCAGGGGUCACUCAGUGGUCACUCAGUGUCCGGUGGUCACUCAGUGUCCGGUGCAGGUGACCAAAGGGUGGUCAAUGAUGAUGAUGAUGAUGAUGCCCAUGGUCACUCAGUGGUCACUCAUUGGUCACUCAGCGGUCACUCAGUGGUCACUCAGGGGUCAGGGCCCGGUGGUCACUCAGUGGUCAGUGGUCACUCAGCAGUCACUCAGUGGUCACUCAGCGGUCACUCAGGGGUCAGAGGUCACUCAGGGGUCAGAGGAUCACUCAGGGGUCACUCAGGGAUCACUCAGGGGUCACUCAGCGGUCACUCAGGGGUCAGAGCCCGGUGGUCACUCAGUGUCUGGUGGUCACUCAGGGAUCACUCAGGGGUCACUCAGCGGUCACUCAGCGGUCACUCAGGGGUCAGAGCCCGGUGGUCACUCAGUGUCCGGUGCAGGUGGCCGAAGUCCGGCCGCUCGGCCGCCUCUCGGGCCCAGCAGUUCAACAUCAGCCGGUGCAGGGCGGGGGGGCAGCCGGGGGGGCAGGGCAGGUACUGCUGGGAACUGGGGUUACUGGGAUGGACUGGGA